UUUGGAGCUUAGAUUGAAAAUUGGCACCUCUUCCAGUUAGCCAUUAGUGAAGAAUACAAACUUUCUUCUCUGACGUCGCGGCAAAGGAACCGUGCAGCACGCACGGUGUUGGCAUGUGAAUCAAAGACCGAGAUAUACGCGAGUGCAAAGGGAUGAGGGGAAAACAGACAGCCUUUUCUAAGUGAACCGAAAAAAUGAACGUUUUUAUCAAUCAAGGUUUUGGUGAUCUCCAAGAAUGCUGAACCGUUAAUGGGAGGUCACACUAUACGUGCAAAUGAGAUUCACGGAAAUCAACGCGCGACCUUGACCCGCAACUGCACCGCCAUUCUUCCCGUUUCUGGAAAUGACAUCGUUUGUUUUUAUUUUUAUUUUUGUUAACUUCCAUAUAAAUUUAAAAAACGUGGACUUUAACAACAUUCUGUUGUUCUGAUGUAGACAUGUAGAUAAAAAUAAGAUACAGAUUAAUUUCCCUUGUGUCACUUUCUACAUCCUGUUACGAUGUUCCUUAGCACAACGCAUCUCUUUGCGGAAGUUGCUAUAAUAAAACAGAUCAAUCAUGCU
rnacentral:sRNA from 1 species